AUACGUAGGGGGCGAGCGUUGUCCGGAAUGACUGGGCGUAAAGGGCGUGUAGGCGGCGAUUUGAGUUUGGAGUGAAAGUCCCGUUUUCAAGAUGGGAAUUGCUUUGGAUACUGGAUUGCUUGAGUACAGAAGAGGUAAGCGGAAUUCCCGGUGUAGCGGUGAAAUGCGUAGAGAUCGGGAGGAACACCAGUGGCGAAGGCGGCUUACUGGGCUGUAACUGACGCUGAGGCGCGAAAGCGUGGGGAGCGAACAGGAUUAGAUACCCUGGUAGUCCACGCGGUAAACGAUGAAUGCUAGGUGUAGCGGGUAUCGACCCCUGCUGUGCCGCAGUAAACACAAUAAGCAUUCCGCCUGGGGAGUACGGCCGCAAGGUUGAAACUCAAAGGAAUUGACGGGG
rnacentral:rRNA from 1 species